GACGUAAGGGGCAAGCGUUGUCCGGAAUUACUGGGCGUAAAGAGCGCGUAGGUGGCUUAGCAAGCGGCGGGUGAAAGCCCGCGGCUCAACUGCGGAAUUGCUUGCCGAACUGCUAAGCUAGAGCGCGGGAGAGGGCAGUGGAAUUCCUGGUGUAGCGGUGGAAUGCGUCAAUAUCAGGAAGAACACCCGUGGCGAAGGCUGCUGCCUGGAACGUUGCUGACGCUGAGGCGCGAAAGCUAGGGGAGCGAACGGGAUUAGAUACC
rnacentral:rRNA from 1 species